AACGCACAUUGCGCCCUUUGGUAUUCCGAAGGGCAUGCCUGUCCGAGCGUCAUUAUCAACCUUCAAGCCUGGCUUGUCAUUGGGUUUUGUCUUUGCUUCGGCGGCGACAUGCCUGAAAGGUAGUGACUGUCGUGUUUGAUCCCCGAUGCAACGAGCCUUUUGGCACGCAUUGAAGGGUUAAGUCCGGCACGUCUUGACCAAUUUUCUCAGGUUGACCUCGGAUCAGGUAGGAAUACCCGCUGAACUUAA
rnacentral:misc_RNA from 2 species